AACGAACGCUGGCGGCAUGCCUAACACAUGCAAGUCGAACGAGACCUUCGGGUCUAGUGGCGCACGGGUGCGUAACGCGUGGGAAUCUACCCUUGGGUUCGGGAUAACAGUGAGAAAUCGCUGCUAAUACCGGAUGAUGACGUAAGUCCAAAGAUUUAUCGCCCAGGGAUGAGCCCGCGUAGGAUUAGCUAGUUGGUGAGGUAAAGGCUCACCAAGGCGACGAUCCUUAGCGGUCUGAGAGGAUGAUCAGCCACACUGGGACUGAGACACGGCCCAGACUCCUACGGGAGGCAGCAGUGGGGAAUAUUGGACAAUGGGCGAAAGCCUGAUCCAGCAAUGCCGCGUGAGUGAUGAAGGCCUUAGGGUUGUAAAGCUCUUUUACCCGGGAUGAUAAUGACAGUACCGGGAGAAUAAGCUCCGGCUAACUCCGUGCCAGCCGCCGCAGUAAU
rnacentral:rRNA from 1 species